rnacentral:rRNA from 1 species
AUGCCUCCCCCACUUUGCUUUCCGCUGGAGCAACGCCGUUGCCUUGGCCUCACACAAGGAACACCGGCGGCACGCACGCCCCCCACAUAUACUCCCCCCAGCCCCCGUGCUUGCAUGUGCACAAGAAACCUCCUUUCUUCUCAGCACAGCAGGAAGGAAACCCACCCUCCUACGUGGACAAAGAUCAGAUCAAUGGGUCAGGCCGUCGCCAAGGCGAAGCAAGAGGCCGGGCGGGCAACGCAGAAGAACGACAAGGACGGCAAGGCUGUGGCCAACCGUAAUGACGCCAAGGAGCAGCUCAUCGAAUUUAUGGAUAAGAACUACGAUAAAGUCAAGCCUACGAAAACCUUCGAUGAGUUUUAUCAUGCCAUCUUCGAACUCAUCGAACAGUUUUGUGAGGAACAAGGGCAGCUGCAGUACAGGAUGCCAUCAAAAGAUAAGCUCGCGGAAGUGUACAAGGCUCUUAGGAAGCCGGAUGGAGUAAACCUCACCAAGGGUCAGUUCCACACGAUCACCGAGAACCUCGUCACGGUGCACAGCUUCAGCUUCGGCAAGGCCGCCUUCGACGUGCUCGUGGUCCUCUUUGGCGCGCCGAUGUGCGCGCUCCUCGUCAAGAGGGUCGUCCCCGGCCUCAAGUCCUUCUCCGACGACGUCGUCAUCCCGGUGGCCACCUCCGGCGCCGUCGUGUACCUGGCCAAGACCAACAAGCUGUGA